rnacentral:misc_RNA from 1 species
UACGGAGGGUGCAAGCGUUGUCCGGAUUUAUUGGGUUUAAAGGGUGCGUAGGCGGUUUAUUAAGUCAGUGGUGAAAGGCGGCAGCUUAACUGUCGAAUUGCCAUUGAUACUGGUAGACUUGAGUACAGAUGAGGUAGGCGGAAUUUAUGGUGUAGCGGUGAAAUGCAUAGAUACCAUAAAGAACACCGAUAGCGAAGGCAGCUUACUAAACUGUUACUGACGCUGAGGCACGAAAGCAUGGGUAGCAAACAGG